rnacentral:rRNA from 1 species
AUGAAUCUAAUAGGUUUAUUAAUUGACGUUAAUCACAGAAGAAGCACCGGCUAACUCCGUGCCAGCAGCCGCGGUAAUACGGAGGGUGCGAGCGUUAAUCGGAAUGACUGGGCGUAAAGGGCAUGUAGGCGGAUAAUUAAGUUAGGUGUGAAAGCCCUGGGCUCAACCUAGGAAUUGCACUUAAAACUGGUUAACUAGAGUAUUGUAGAGGAAGGUAGAAUUCCACGUGUAGCGGUGAAAUGCGUAGAGAUGUGGAGGAAUACCGGUGGCGAAGGCGGCCUUCUGGACAGAUACUGACGCUGAGAUGCGAAAGCGUGGGGAGCAAACAGGAUUAGAUACCCUGGUAGUCCACGCUGUAAACGAUGUCGAUUUGGAGUUUGUUGCCUAGAGUGAUGGGCUCCGAAGCUAACGCGAUAAAUCGACCGCCUGGGGAGUACGGCCGCAAGGUUAAAACUCAAAUGAAUUGACGGGGGCCCGCACAAGCGGUGGAGCAUGUGGUUUAAUUCGAUGCAACGCGAAGAACCUUACCUGGUCUUGACAUCCACAGAAUCUUGUAGAGAUACGAGAGUGCCUUCGGGAACUGUGAGACAGGUGCUGCAUGGCUGUCGUCAGCUCGUGUUGUGAAAUGUUGGGUUAAGUCCCGCAACGAGCGCAACCCUUAUCCUUUGUUGCCAUCGAUUAGGUCGGGAACUCAAAGGAGACUGCCGUUGAUAAAGCGGAGGAAGGUGGGGACGACGUCAAGUCAUCAUGGCCCUUACGACCAGGGCUACACACGUGCUACAAUGGCGUAUACAAAGGGAGGCGACCUCGCGAGAGUAAGCGGACCUCACAAAGUACGUCUAAGUCCGGAUUGGAGUCUGCAACUCGACUCCAUGAAGUCGGAAUCGCUAGUAAUCGUGAAUCAGAAUGUCACGGUGAAUACGUUCCCGGGCCUUGUACACACCGCCCGUCACACCAUGGGAGUGGGUUGCACCAGAAGUAGAUAGCUUAACCUUCGGGAGGGCGUUUACCACGGUGUGGUUCAUGACUGGGGUGAAGUCGUAACAAGGUAACCGUAGGGGAACCUGCGGUUGGAUCACCUCCUUAC